GAUGAAGAACGUAGCGAAAUGCGAUAAGUAGUGUGAAUUGCAGAAUUCAGUGAAUCAUCGAAUCUUUGAACGCACAUUGCGCCCCUUGGUAUCCCGAGGGGCAUGCCUGUUCGAGCGUCAUUUCACCACUCAAGCCUGGCUUGGUGUUGGGCGACGUCCCAUUUGGGGACGCGUCUCGAAACGCUCGGCGGCGUGGCACCGGCUUUAAGCGUAGCAGAAUCUUUCGCUUUGGAAGUCGGGGCCCCGUCUGCCGGAAGACCUGCUCGCAAGGUUGACCUCGGAUCAGGCAGGGAUACCCGCUGAACUUAAGCAUAUCAAUAAGCGGAGGA
rnacentral:misc_RNA from 1 species